CGCAGCCGCGGUUCCCGCCCGCGCCUCUCCCUCCACACCUCCCCGCAAGCAGAGGGAGCCGGCUCCGGCCUUGGCCAGCCCAGAGACAGGCUCCCACAGUGCAGCGGCGGGCUGAAGGGCUCCUCAAGCACUGCCAGAGUGGACACCGAGGCCGAGGAGACGCCAAGAGCGAAAAUUUUUGUUUUCCAUGACUGCAAGAAAUACUGCUGAACAAGACAUUUCUUCAUCAUCCUUGAUGAAAGAUGAACAUUAAUAAUGCAGAUAGAAAUCAGGCCAAGUAAUGUUGAAGAGAAAACAAGGUCCAGUAGCACUACUUCCUUUUAGAAGAUAAGAAUAAACAGAUUUAAAAUGGCAAGCUCAAUAAUUUUACCCUAACAAAAAAUGAGGGACUUUCUGGUCUCCAUAUUCUCAUAAAUAAAAGUUGCAUUCCAUGAGGAGAAAACAAAAAAACCCAUCACAGUGAACAAUUGAAUUGCUCCGUGGACAUCAUGCCUUUCUAAGCAAGCAUUGAAUAUAGGAGAUGUAUUUAUGAUAACCAGAGACAGAUGAAACAAGCUUCUGGUUCAAGAGUUUCUUCAGGUUCCACUACGGGCUGUUCUUCUACAGGUGCGCCGAUGUCCACAGUGCUACCUUCUGAUGAGCUACUGCUUUCAUUCAGUUUCUGCUGACUUAAUAUGUGAGCUGACAGAAUGCAGAGACCACGUUGUAUAUGAAGCAUCCACUUUGCCUUGUACACCAGGGCAUUCAAUAACCACUUAAUAACUACAACCCUGAUGAUCCGAUUCACUACUAAAGUCUUCCGUGUUUAAAUUUUCAAAGUCAGAUUCUCCUACAGCAAUUGAAUAGAGACCUCACAUCCUCAACAGAGUUUGAGAAGCACUGCUCCAAGUCUCACCUCUGCCUGCAUUCCCUCUAUCAUCUUUGAAGGAGUAUGAGUCCAGAAAACAGAUAGAGCUUUACCACAAAGCGCAUUUGAAGGAAGGGAGAAUUUCACCUGUGCUUACUAGAAGAACAAUCCCCUAUGCCAACAAUACUUAGCCCUCUUUUUCUCUGAUUCAUUGAGGGAUUCUGUCCCUGAAUGACAUUGUGAGAUCAUCGUAAAUCUGAACAGACUUGUGCAAUGCAAAUGCCUUUGCUGUGGGGGAAUAUGAGCAUGUAACGACACAGAAAGGCCCAAAGUGAGCUAGCUCAGGAAUAAAUAUGGUCCACCUUUCAAAUGUACUGCAUAUACUUCCUUUCCCCCCAGAUAUGCUGAGUAAAAUCUGAAAGAAAUAUUAGGGGCUCAGAUGGCCAGUCGCAGUGGCUCACGUCUGUAAUCCCAGCACUUUGGGAGGCCAAAGUGGGCACAUCACCUGAGGUCAGAAGUUUGAGACCAGCCUGGCCAACAUGGUGAAACCCCAUCUCUACUAAAAACACACAAAAAAAUUAGCUGGGCCUGGUGGUGGGUCCCUGUAAUCCCAGUUGCUUGGGAGGCUGAGGCAGGAGAACAGGAGAAUCGCUUGAACCCAGGAGGCGGAGGUUGCAGUGAGCCAAGAUCGCGCCACUGCACUCCAGCCUGGGUGAUGAGAGCAAAACUCCAUCUGAAAAAAAGAAAAAGAAAUAUUAGGGGCACAGGUAGGAGAACCAGUAAAAAUAUAACACAGAAUAUAUAUAUUUUAAAAUAAGAAUCUCUUGAUUUCAGAUAAUAUUAAAAGCUAAUUUUGAAACAAAUAGUAGUGAUACAAAGAGAUAAUGAGAAAGAAAUGACAAUCCAUAGAUGGCCUAAAUCAUGGGCUGGAGUGUGAGGAUAAUCAAGAUGGUACUGUUUGUACCUCCGUGGAUAAGGAAAAUAACCAGGCUCAUCCUAAGGAGACAGGACCAUACUUAGAAGAGAACACCUGUGAUGCUGGCUCCUUGGCCACUGUUCAGCCCAAACCAUGACCAGAGGUAAUAAAUGACCAAAACAGAAAAGACAGACAAGGAGUGGUAAAGUAAAAGGCAAAGCUAGAGAUCUAAAAGAAGGGAGGGGAAAUAUUUCUGCCCUGAGUACUAAAAAGUAAAAGAGGCAAGAUUCAGAAACCAAACACAAAAGGUUCCAAAAAGGAAGUCUGCCUAGAAGUAAAAAGAGCAGAGGAUUCUAGACAAAAAUCGGGGAAAGGUGGGGACAGAGAGAAAUCUGUUAAAGGACACAAAAUUACAACUAGAUAGGAGGAACACAUUCUAGCUCUCCACACCACUGUAGGAUGACUACAGUUAAAAAUAAUUUAUUAUAUAGUUUCAAAUAGCUGGAAGGAAGAUAUUGAAUGUUCCCAACACAAAAAAUGAUAAAUGUUUGAGAUGACGGAUAUGCUAAUUAUUCUGAUCUGAUCACUAUACAUCAUAUGUAUUAAAACCACUAUAUGCUUCAUAAA
ensembl:lncRNA SCN1A-AS1 SCN1A and SCN9A antisense RNA 1